CGAAGGAUGCAAGCGUUAUCCGGAAUUAUUGGGUUUAAAGGGUGCGUAGGCGGACUGAUAAGUCAGUGGUGAAAGCCUGCAGCUUAACUGCAGAAUUGCCGUUGAUACUGUCAGUCUUGAGUACAGUUGAGGUAGGCGGAAUGUGUCAUGUAGCGGUGAAAUGCUUAGAUAUGACACAGAACACCGAUUGCGAAGGCAGCUUGCUAAGCUGUAACUGACGCUGAGGCACGAAAGCGUGGGGAGCAA
rnacentral:rRNA from 1 species